rnacentral:rRNA from 1 species
UUGGUUAAGUUAGAAAGGGCGCACGGUGGAUGCCUUGGCACUAGGAGCCGAAGAAGGACGGGACUAACACCGAUAUGCUUUGGGGAGCUGUACGUAAGCGUUGAUCCAGAGAUUUCCGAAUGGGGGAACCCACUAUCUUUAGUCGGAUAGUAUCCUUACGUGAAUACAUAGCGUAAGGAAGGCAGACCCAGGGAACUGAAACAUCUAAGUACCUGGAGGAAGAGAAAGAAAAAUCGAUUUCCUGAGUAGCGGCGAGCGAAACGGAAAGAGCCCAAACCAAGAAGCUUGCUUCUUGGGGUUGUAGGACACUCUAUACGGAGUUACAAAAGAAAGUUAUAAAUGAAGCGGUCUGGAAAGGCCCGCCAAAGACGGUAACAGCCCGGUAGUUGAAAUGGCUUUCCCUCCAGAGUGGAUCCUGAGUACGGCGGAACACGUGAAAUUCCGUCGGAAUCCGGGAGGACCAUCUCCCAAGGCUAAAUACUCCCUAGUGACCGAUAGUGAACCAGUACCGUGAGGGAAAGGUGAAAAGCACCCCGGAAGGGGAGUGAAACAGUUCCUGAAACCGUGUGCCUACAAGUAGUUAGAGCCCGUUAAUGGGUGAUAGCGUGCCUUUUGUAGAAUGAACCGGCGAGUUACGAUUUGUUGCAAGGUUAAGCGGAAAAAGCGGAGCCGUAGCGAAAGCGAGUCUGAAUAGGGCGCAUAAGUAACAGGUCGUAGACCCGAAACCAGGUGAUCUACCCAUGUCCAGGAUGAAGGUAAGGUAAUACUUACUGGAGGUCCGAACCCACGCACGUUGAAAAGUGCGGGGAUGAGGUGUGGGUAGCGGAGAAAUUCCAAUCGAACUUGGAGAUAGCUGGUUCUCUCCGAAAUAGCUUUAGGGCUAGCCUCGAGGUAAAGAGUCAUGGAGGUAGAGCACUGUUUGGACUAGGGGCCCUUCUCGGGUUACCGAAUUCAGAUAAACUCCGAAUGCCAUGUACUUAUACUCGGGAGUCAGACUGCGAGUGAUAAGAUCCGUAGUCGAAAGGGAAACAGCCCAGACCACCAGUUAAGGUCCCCAAAUAUAUGUUAAGUGGAAAAGGAUGUGGGGUUGCUUAGACAACCAGGAUGUUGGCUUAGAAGCAGCCACCAUUGAAAGAGUGCGUAAUAGCUCACUGGUCGAGUGACCCCGCGCCGAAAAUGUACCGGGGCUAAACAUAUUACCGAAACUGUGGAUGAACCUCUUCGGAGGUUCGUGGUAGGAGAGCGUUCUAAGGGCGGUGAAGUCAGACCGGAAGGACUGGUGGAGCGCUUAGAAGUGAGAAUGCCGGUAUGAGUAGCGAAAGAAGGGUGAGAAUCCCUUCCACCGAAUAUCUAAGGUUUCCUGAGGAAGGCUCGUCCGCUCAGGGUUAGUCGGGACCUAA